UACGAAGGGGGCUAGCGUUGCUCGGAAUCACUGGGCGUAAAGCGCACGUAGGCGGCUUCUUAAGUCAGGGGUGAAAUCCUGGAGCUCAACUCCAGAACUGCCUUUGAUACUGAGGAGCUUGAGUCCGGGAGAGGUGAGUGGAACUGCGAGUGUAGAGGUGAAAUUCGUAGAUAUUCGCAAGAACACCAGUGGCGAAGGCGGCUCACUGGCCCGAUACUGACGCUGAGGCACGAAAAGCGUGGGGGAGCAAACAGG
rnacentral:rRNA from 1 species